AGCGAACGCUGGCGGCAGGCCUAACACAUGCAAGUCGAACGAACUCUUCGGAGUUAGUGGCGGACGGGUGAGUAACACGUGGGAACGUGCCUUUAGGUUCGGAAUAACUCAGGGAAACUUGUGCUAAUACCGAAUGUGCCCUUCGGGGGAAAGAUUUAUCGCCUUUAGAGCGGCCCGCGUCUGAUUAGCUAGUUGGCGAGGUAAAGGCUCACCAAGGCGACGAUCAGUAGCUGGUCUGAGAGGAUGAUCAGCCACAUGGGGACUGAGACACGGCCCAAACUCCUACGGGAGGCAGCAGUGGGGAAUCUUGCGCAAUGGGCGAAAGCCUGACGCAGCCAUGCCGCGUGAGUGAUGAAGGUCUUAGGAUUGUAAAAUUCUUUCACCGGGGACGAUAAUGACGGUACCCGGAGAAGAAGCCCCGGCUAACUUCGUUCCAGCCGCCGCGGUAA
rnacentral:rRNA from 1 species